AACCUUGUUUUAGAUUUCUGUCAAUGCAAUGUCUACUGCUAUAAUCAACCCCCCCACUUAGGAGCUGGAAAAACUGCUCCUAGCUGUCGCUGAAAGUGAUCCCAUACAAACAUCUCAGUCAUAUCGCAGCCUCGGGACUCGCUGCUGCCGAUGGACCACGUAAGGACAACGUCUAAAAUACAGAGAGAGUUGAGCACGAAAGGGCGGUAAGAGUCCGGUCGAAUGGCACCAGGGAACUAUAUCUUCCCUUUUUUCAGUGCUGUGCUGGUCUUCCGCACUUCUCUCCUUUCGCUUGCACACUCGUUCGGCUUUCGUGGAGCAUCCAGGAUUUUUUUUCUUCCCUCUCGAAGUAACCAACAACUAGGCUCACCUGCCUCAAGCUUCAACAAUUAUGUUUAAGUGCAGCAAGCACCCGACUUCCCUGGCUGAGCGGGGAUGUGCUGGUGGCGCCCGCCCUGGACCAGAGUGACUGCGAGGAUGGGGGCUACUCCACGGAAGUCGGGGAAGCUUUACAAGGCAGCCAGUCCAAUGUGGAGCAUGUGACUGGAGUGAAAAAACAAAGGGAAGGAUCUAUCUUCUUCAUAGAAUCACAGAAUCUCAGAGUGGUUGAGGUUGGAAGGGACCUCUGGAGGUCGUCUAGUCCAACCGACCUGCUCAAGCAGGGUCGUCUAGAACACGUUGCAGAGGAUCCCGUCCAGAUGGCUUCUGAAUAUCUCCAGGGAAGAAGACUCCACAACUUCUCUGGGCAACCUGUGCCAGUGCUCAGUCACUUUCAUAGUUAAGAAGUUCUUGGAAGUUCUUAAAGAAGUUCUUGAAAGAGGCUUGGGAUUUGGAGACAUUUUUCAGAAGAAGGUUGUCCAUUUGCUGAGAGCUUCUUCUUUAGAAGCCUUUAGGCUUUAGUUUAUAGGAAACUGAGUUUUCCAAGUUUGAGCCUUCCAAGGGAGCAAUUUAGAUGCAAUUUCUAAUCAGAUUCCUUUUGUGUCAGAACCUUGUAUCAGUUAAACAAGAAGCCUUAUUUUGUGAAACUGUGAUCUGAAAUACUCCAUUUUUCAUUUUAUCAAAAAAUAAAGUUUUUCGUUUCUCACUUACA
rnacentral:lncRNA from 1 species